rnacentral:rRNA from 1 species
UACGUAGGGUGCAAGCGUUGUCCGGAAUUAUUGGGCGUAAAGGGCUCGUAGGCGGUCUGUCACGUCGGGAGUGAAAACUCGGGGCUUAACCCCGAGCCUGCUUCCGAUACGGGCAGACUAGAGGUAUGCAGGGGGAGAACGGAAUUCCUGGUGUAGCGGUGAAAAUGCGCAGAUAUCAGGAGGAACACCGAUGGCGAAAGGGCAGGGUCUCUGGGCAUUAACUGACGCUGAGGAGCGAAAGCAUGGGGAGCGAACAGGA